rnacentral:rRNA from 1 species
UGGGGAAUAUUGCACAAUGGGCGCAAGCCUGAUGCAGCAACGCCGCGUGAGGGACGACGGCCUUCGGGUUGUAAACCUCUUUUAGUAGGGAAGAAGCGAAAGUGACGGUACCUGCAGAAAAAGCACCGGCUAACUACGUGCCAGCAGCCGCGGUAAUACGUAGGGUGCGAGCGUUGUCCGGAAUUAUUGGGCGUAAAGAGCUCGUAGGCGGUCUGUCGCGUCUGCUGUGAAAACCCGAGGCUCAACCUCGGGCCUGCAGUGGGUACGGGCAGACUAGAGUGCGGUAGGGGAGAAUGGAAUUCCUGGUGUAGCGGUGGAAUGCGCAGAUAUCAGGAGGAACACCGAUGGCGAAGGCAGUUCUCUGGGCCGUAACUGACGCUGAGGAGCGAAAGCGUGGGGAGCGAACAGGAUUAGAUACCCUGGUAGUCCACGCCGUAAACGUUGGGCGCUAGAUGUGGGGACCAUUCCACGGUUUCCGUGUCGCAGCUAACGCAUUAAGCG